UACGUAGGGUGCAAGCGUUGUCCGGAAUUAUUGGGCGUAAAGAGCUCGUAGGCGGUCUGUCGCGUCGGCUGUGAAAACUCGGGGCUCGACCCCGAGCCUGCAGUCGAUACGGGCAGACUAGAGUGCUGUAGGGGAGACUGGAAUUCCUGGUGUGAGCGGUGAAAUGCGCAGAUAGUCAGGAGGAACACCGGUGGCGAAGGCGGGUCUCUGGGCCGAUAUUGACGCUGGAGGAGCGAAAGCGUGGGGAGCAAACGGG
rnacentral:rRNA from 1 species